GACGAACGCUGGCGGCGUGCUUAACACAUGCAAGUCGAACGGAAAGGCCUUUUCGGCGGUACUCGAGUGGCGAACGGGUGAGUAACACGUGGGUGAUCUGCCCUGCACUCUGGGAUAAGCCCGGGAAACUGGGUCUAAUACCGGAUAGGACCGCACUUUAGUGUGUGUGGUGGAAAGUUUUUUCGGUGUAGGAUGAGCCCGCGGCCUAUCAGCUUGUUGGUGGGGUAAUGGCCUACCAAGGCGGCGACGGGUAGCCGGACUGAGAGGUUGGUCGGCCACAUUGGGACUGAGAUACGGCCCAGACUCCUACGGGAGGCAGCAGUGGGGAAUAUUGCACAAUGGGCGCAAGCCUGAUGCAGCGACGCCGCGUGGGGGAUGACGGCCUUCGGGUUGUAAACUCCUUUCGCCAGGGACGAAGCGUUUUGUGACGGUACCUGGAGAAGAAGCACCGGCUAACUACGUG
rnacentral:rRNA from 1 species